GAGGAGUGAUGAUACUGAGAAAAGGUUUCGCUCUGUGAGCUGAUGUCAUCAUGUGAUGUCACCACUUCUCUUGGCUGUCUGACCAA
ensembl:snoRNA